ensembl:snRNA U6 U6 spliceosomal RNA
GUGCUCACUUCAGCAGCACAUAUACUAAAAUUGGAACAAUACAGAGAAGAGCAGCAUGACCCCUGUGCAAGGAUGGCCCACAAACUCAUGAAGUGUUCCAUAUUUAA